rnacentral:rRNA from 1 species
GCGAAUGGCUCAUAAAUCAGUAUCGUUUAUUUGAUAGUACCUUACUACUUGGAUAACCGUGGUAAUUCUAGAGCUAAUACAUGCUGAAAACCCCAACUUCGGGAGGGGUGUAUAUAUUAGAUAAAAAACCAACGCCCUUCGGGGCUUCUUGGUGAUUCAUGAUAUCUUUACGGAUCGCAUGGCCCUUGCGCCGGCGACGGUUCAUUCAAAUUUCUGCCCUAUCAACUUUCGAUGGUAAGGUAUUGGCUUACCAUGGUUUCAACGGGUAACGGGGAAUUAGGGUUCGAUUCCGGAGAGGGAGCCUGAGAAACGGCUACCACAUCCAAGGAAGGCAGCAGGCGCGCAAAUUACCCAAUCCCGACACGGGGAGGUAGUGACAAUAAAUACUGAUACAGGGCUCUUUUGGGUCUUGUAAUUGGAAUGAGUACAAUUUAAACCUCUUAACGAGGAACAAUUGGAGGGCAAGUCUGGUGCCAGCAGCCGCGGUAAUUCCAGCUCCAAUAGCGUAUAUUAAAGUUGUUGCAGUUAAAAAGCUCGUAGUUGAACCUUGGGUCUGGCUGGCAGGUCCGCCUCACCGCGUGUACUUGUCCGGCCGGGCCUUCCUUCUGGAGAACCUCAUGCCCUUCACUGGGCGUGUUGGGGACCAGGACUUUUACUUUGAAAAAAUUAGAGUGUUCAAAGCAGGCCUUUGCUCGAAUACGUUAGCAUGGAAUAAUAGAAUAGGACGUGCGGUCCUAUUUUGUUGGUUUCUAGGACCGCCGUAAUGAUUAAUAGGGACAGUCGGGGGCAUCAGUAUUCAAUUGUCAGAGGUGAAAUUCUUGGAUUUAUUGAAGACUAACUACUGCGAAAGCAUUUGCCAAGGAUGUUUUCAUUAAUCAGUGAACGAAAGUUAGGGGAUCGAAGACGAUCAGAUACCGUCGUAGUCUUAACCGUAAACUAUGCCGACUAG